ACGUAGGAGGCAAGCGUUAUCCGGAGUUACUGGGCGUAAAGGGCGUGCAGGCGGUUGGCUAAGUUCGUUGUGAAAGCGCCCAGGCUUAACCGGGCGAGGACAAUGAAGGCUGGUCAGCUAGAGGACGGUAGAGGGGUGUGGAAUUCCGGGUGUAGUGGUGAAAUGCGUAGAGAUCCGGAGGAACACCAGUGGCGAAGGCGGCACCCUGGCCCAGACCUGACGCUGAGGUGCGAAAGCGUGGGGAGCAAACAG
rnacentral:rRNA from 1 species